GACGAACGCUGGCGGUGUGCUUAACACAUGCAAGUCGAACGGAAAGGCCCUUUCGUUGGUCCACGAGUGGCGAACGGGUGCGUAACACUUGAGUAACCUGCCCUCAUCUCUGGGAUAAGAGUCGGAAACGGUUGCUAAUACUGGUUAUGAGCCUGCUAUUCAUCUUGUGGGUUGGAAAGUUUUGUUGGUUUGGGAUGGGCUCGCGGCCUAUCAGCUUGUUGGUGAGGUUGUGGCUAACCGAGGCUUCGACGGGUAGCCACCCUGAGAAGCCGACCGGCCACCUUGGGGCUGAGAUAAGGCCCAAAUUCCUACGGGAGGGAGAAGUGGGGAAUAUUGCACAAGGGACGGAAGUCGGAUGCAGCAGCUCCGCGUGCGGGAAGACGGCCUUCGGGUUGUAAACCGCUUUCAAUUGUGACGAAGCUUUUUGUGACGGUAGCAGUAGAAGAAGCACCGGCUAACUACGUG
rnacentral:rRNA from 1 species